AGGCAUUUAUUAACACUGCAAAGGAGAUCUACGAGAAGAUCCAGGAAGGAGUUUUUGACAUUAAUAAUGAGGCAAAUGGCAUAAAAAUUGGCCCUCAGCAUGCUGCUACUAAUGCAACACUUGCAGGCAAUCAGGGAGGACAACAAGCUGGAGGAGGCUGCUGUUGAGCCUGUUUUUACUUUCUAGCUGCCUGGAUGGGGUCUACUAACUUGUUUGUUCACCCUCCCCUGCCCCCUGCCCUGCUCGCCUCCACUUCAGUUCGACUGAGACAUGAAACUUGUACGUUGGUUUCCUGUUGCAGAAGACUUUAUCCUUCAAAUUCUUGUAUAACUUUGAAUAAAUGGUUAAUGUUCACUUAAAGACAGAUUUUGGAGAUUGUAUUCAUAUCUAUUUACAUUUGAUUUCUAGGUCAAUUGAUGUGAUUAUUUUUGUUAAAUGUUGUCUUGUGCCCUUGACUACGAACUGAAUUGUAUUAAACACUACAAAGUCAUCUGAGUAUUUUAAUCAGUUUGUGUAGUUAGGUUUCCCAGCUCCUGCGGUUACCUAAUGUUUAAUAUUGUAGAGCUGUCCUCAAGUUUUUUGUCAAUUUUCAAGGCUAUCAAGAGAAGCAGAAGGACUCUUUUAAUUCUGUAUUUAUCACUUUCUGUAUAUAUAGUUUAAUAACCUGCUUGGGUGUACUUGCCAAGCUAGAAUUCUUUAAUGCAUUUGCAUAAAUUCUAUACUACUUAGAGCUUGAAAACUACAGAAGCAUUAAUAGAAAUUGCUUGGACGCUAAAUUUUAAGCCUUUUUGACAUUGUUAGCAUGUUCAUCCUCCCCAGUCAUUAUCCUGAAGUCCAAGAGAAAUGCUUAAUGUAUAUUACUAGAGGCUACAUACGUGCUAUCUAUUUUAAUGCCAAAUGUUUGCUGUUUGUCCACAAUUUCCACAGCACCUCUUCAGAAAUGGAUUAGCUGUUUGCCUUAACAAAUACUAUAGGUAAAAACAGAGUAUGAAUGAAAAGUAGAGGAGGAGUUGAUAAAUUUAAAAUGGCACAUUAUAAAAACUUUAAUCUUUUUCUUAAUGUUUUUUUUUUCUUGUUUACCACUUGAUUUCUAGGUAUAUUUUUCAUGCAAGGACAGUUUUUUCAACCUAAAUGUACAGUGGUUGUGUAAAGUUUUCUUUUAGUGACAACUUGUAAUCCUAAAUAUAUGGUAAGCAUCUUGUCUAUUGUGAAGAGGGUGUGAAAAUAAAAUCUGCCAGUUUGGAAAUCUUGAUGAAAAUCAAAA